rnacentral:misc_RNA from 1 species
UCUAAAUUUUCUUCGCCUAAUAGCAUUUUUCACUUGUAGUAGCAUGCGGUUCCUGAGAAAUAGAAACAAAAUUUUGGUGCUAUCUUAACACAAAAUGAGGAUAAUUUUUGAAUUUUCAGAAGUGUGGUGUUCGUGUGCUUUGGUUUGAAAUGGUACAAGGAUAUACAAAGGCAUGAAAGAUAGUUGGAACAACUUUACCAAUGUUCUUGUUG